CUUAUGAACCACACAAGAUGUUUUUGUGGCGGCUGGUUGGGUUUCUGAGUGCGGAAAUAUAGACAGGAGGACGGCGGCUGGAGAUGGAGAUCGAGAGGACGGCGAUGCUUGGCGGCGCCGGUGGUGAUUUUCCCAUGGAUCCGGUGGUCAAUCUUCACCGAUGGGGUUGUCCCCGCUGGCUCGGAUCUGAACGACGGGAGCGAGAUCGCUAGUGGCGGUCCGGUAGGCGUGCGGGAGUCGUCUGUGGCUGCGCACUUCAAUGGUGUCGACCCCGGCCGGGACGAUGCGGAUAGUCAGGGCAGUGCGCCCGCAGAGUCAGCCGAGUCUCCAAUCAAACUAGAUCCCCGACCACCCGGGUUGGAUCAAAAGUGUUCGUGUGGGCACGAGUCUAAUGGAGCGAAUACCAUGCACUAGCAGAAUGGGCGCUCUAGAGAAAACGAUAAGAGGAUUUGCAGAGAGGGACAGGGAAGAAGUUAUCAAGUCAGGGUUGGGCAGGCAUACGACUUCUACAAUUUGUAUUCCUGGGAGCACGGAUUCAGUAUUAGAUACGGAAAGAGCCGGCUCAAUCCCGAGAAGUGGAAAACAAUCAAGGAAAUUGUUUGUGGAUGCUUGGUAGGGAGUUCGGCCUAAUAUAUGCAAGUUUGCUGGGGCUGAAUUUAAGAUGUACCGUGCUGACAAAUAUUCUUGUUGGUUUGUCGAGACCUGUGCGUGAGAACACGAGGAUAAAGUUCGAUCGCCAGUCCAAUGAGAGCUAUGAGGAGAAAAGAACCAGGAUUGUAAGUUACAGAUGUUAUGUGACGAAGAGUGUACUCUAGUCUUGAAUGAGUGAGCUGACAAAAAAUGUUUUACAUGCAGAAUGAACUAUACAGGGCAACAAACACCCAGUCUAAAAGAAGGGAGAAAUGGAGAAGGGUUGUUUUCCUGGUGAAGAUGAUUGACAAUGGAGCAGAGUUUGAAUACAAAUGUGUGUUGUUUGAACAUAUGAGCAUGUUAUGCUGUCAUGUUCUUAAGAUAUGCACAAGUAAAGAAAUUGUGAAGCCGGUCAUUAGCCCAAUCCUGGGAGCUAAGUUAUACUAUUUUUUUGCAUGACAUAUGUUAUGGACUAUCACAGCAUGACAGAGAUACCAAAAAGGCACAUUGUAAAAAGGUGGACAAGAGAUGCGUGGGAUGUUUUGCCAGAUCAUCUUUGGCACUACCAGCGAGACCAGCUCUGUGCCACCAUGCUAACAUUCAAGCAUAACAAAAUGCAUGUCAAGGCGCUAGAGCUGGUUAGGCUCGGAGGCGUGAGUGUGGAAGCAUAUGAAAGACUGAUGGGUCUGUUCGAGCAAGCCAUGGUGGUGAUGGUGCCAUUUGAGCAUGUCAGGACGGGCUUGGGCUUGAGGACCGUGCUAGUACCAAGAAGCAAGCCGCCAAGGUAGCUGAGUAGGCAGUAACUGCUGACGGCACAACAACCUCCUUAGUUGGUUGGGAGCAUCCCUGAAGAUGAGGAGUGCAGGGAGGCGUACAAACACGAGGGACAAGGCGCCGUAAGAAGGCAUGAGCAAGAGUAGAUUUUUGUAUCAUUUGCAAAACUUAGGUUCAUAAGAGAAAAACAUGCCAGCAGCGAGGAGACGCUCCUAAAGCGCAGCGGAAGGAAGCGAAGUGCGGCAAGUGUGGUGUGGCGGGAACAUUUGUGUUGCUGAAAAAUCUGUCGCGUUUAACUGGGGCUUGUCUGACACAUGUGCUAUACAAGCUGGGGCAGAAAAGACUGUCGUGUCUUGGGACCAUUUUUGUAUGACAUGUAACUCGUGUUGGGAUUGUAAUGAUUACUGUUUUUGAUAUGUUGGGUUGCACUAUUUCGAUUCAAAGUUAGUGAGAACACACAUGUGCUUGUGUUCCAGUAA